ACCAGGGGCGGUGGCGCACGCCUGUGAUCCCAGCACCUCGGGAGGCUGAGGCAGGAGGAUCAUGCACUCAAAGCCAGCCUCAGCAAUUUAGGGAGGCCCUAAGCAACUGAGCAAGAUCCUGCCUCAA
rnacentral:sRNA from 1 species